AGGGGGGAGGGGGGGGGAGGAGAGGAGGGAGUUUUUUUUGGUUUCUUUUUCAAAAUUAAGACCUCGGAGGGAUAUGGCGACGGGUGAGUACACGUGGGCAAUCUGCCCUGCACUCUGGGACAAGCCCUGGAAACGGGGUCUAAUACCGGAUACGAGUUUCACCGGCAUCGGUGAUUCUGGAAAGCUCCGGCGGUGCAGGAUGAGCCCGCGGCCUAUCAGCUUGUUGGUGAGGUAACGGCUCACCAAGGCGACGACGGGUAGCCGGCCUGAGAGGGCGACCGGCCACACUGGGACUGAGACACGGCCCAGACUCCUACGGGAGGCAGCAGUGGGGAAUAUUGCACAAUGGGCGAAAGCCUGAUGCAGCGACGCCGCGUGAGGGAUGACGGCCUUCGGGUUGUAAACCUCUUUCAGCAGGGAAGAAGCGAAAGUGACGGUACCUGCAGAAGAAGCGCCGGCUAACUACGUGCCAGCAGCCGCGGUAAUACGUAGGGCGCAAGCGUUGUCCGGAAUUAUUGGGCGUAAAGAGCUCGUAGGCGGCUUGUCGCGUCGGUUGUGAAAGCCCGGGGCUUAACCCCGGGUCUGCAGUCGAUACGGGCAGGCUAGAGUUCGGUAGGGGAGAUCGGAAUUCCUGGUGUAGCGGUGAAAUGCGCAGAUAUCAGGAGGAACACCGGUGGCGAAGGCGGAUCUCUGGGCCGAUACUGACGCUGAGGAGCGAAAGCGUGGGGAGCGAACAGGAUUAGAUACCCUGGUAGUCCACGCCGUAACGGUGGGCACUAGGUGUGGGGCAACAUUCCACGUUGUCCGUGCCGCAGCUAACGCAUUAAGUGCCCCCGCCCUGGGGGAGUACGGCCGCAAGGCUAAAAACUCAAAAGGAAUUGAACGGGGGCCCGCACAAAGCGGCGGAGCAUGUUGGGCUUUAAAUUUCCGAAACCGGCCCAA
rnacentral:rRNA from 1 species